AUCACUUGUCUGCUUUUUUCCCUUUCUUUCUCUCUCCCUCUCUCUCUCUCUCUUGUCUCUCGCACUCACUUACUCUUCCAUCUUUUGCCACUGUGCCAGAUAAAUUUAAAUGUAUCUGUUCAAGUGGAGAUAAUCCAUGCAAAUCAGAGCCACUGGCUCCCAAGUGCUCGAUGCACAAAGAGAACUCCGCUUCAGGAGGUCACUCGUUCACAGCUGCUCCUCCCAUUCUAUUUCUCCCCCUUCCAGCAGAACUGCUGCUUGUACACACUGACUGAAAAGGACUCAAUUUACUGCAACUGCUACCUGGUUUUACUUACAACUUUCUUUAAAGAGGGACAUACCUUCCAGCUAUCUUGCAAAGAAAGAUCAGAGGAUACCAGAAACCCCCACUGAGCAAAGAUGACUUUUUCUUGAACAGAACAGAAGCAGCAUCAGCAGCCUUAGAUAAAGGUAUACAGCUUUUAGGACAUCCCAUCAUCUGGUGUGGGGAACUAUGGAACUGAAGCUAGGUGGUAAAUUUUGAAGUACAGGAGUUCAUCAUGACAGGCCUCACAGCUGUGCCCCCAAGGAGAAUCCAAAAAUUCAGGGUACUUUUGGCACAAUGAUAAAUUUCAUCUUCCCCAGAAUGUGCCUGCUGUUAUCACGUCCAGACAAUAUGCUGAUUUACUUCUCCCAAACAAGUGCUUUCCUUAUUGAAAAC